rnacentral:rRNA from 1 species
CCUACGGGCGGCAGCAGUGAGGAAUAUUGGUCAAUGGCCGGAAGGCUGAACCAGCCAUGCCGCGUGAAGGUCAGUGCCCUAUGGGCGUUAAACUUCUUUUGUGCGGGAGCAAUAAUGGUCACGUGUGGCCAGACGAGAGUACCGUACGAAUAAGCAUCGACUAACUCCGUGCCAGCAGCCGCGGUAAUACGGGGGAUGCAAGCGUUAUCCGGAUUUAUUGGGUUUAAAGGGUGCGUAGGCUGUGAGGUAAGUCAGCGGUGAAAUGCCCCCGCUCAACGGGGUGAAGUGCCAUUGAUACUGCCUGGCUGGAAUGCGGAUGCCGUGGGAGGAAUGUGUGGUGUAGCGGUGAAAUGCAUAGAUAUCACACAGAACACCGAUUGCGAAGGCAUCUCACGAAUCCGCGAUUGACGCUGAUGCACGAAAGCGUGGGUAUCAAACAGGAUUAGAUACCCUGGUAGUC